rnacentral:snRNA from 1 species
GGAUGUGAGGGCGAUCUGGCUGUAACACCUGUCACCCCAUUGAUCGCCAGGGUAGAUUCGGCUGAUCUGGCUGGCCAGGCGGGUGUCCCCUUCUUCCCUCACCGUUCUGUGUGCACCCCUCCAGAAGGGGACGACCAUCCCCGAAUAGAGGAGGACUGGUCUUCGGUCAAGGGCACAUGAGUAACUGCGUUCCCCUGCUAAGACCUCCAAACAAGCUCUCAAAAAGGCCACUCACAACACCCUAGCUUGGCACCGAAACCUAACACCCCUCCGGAGAUUGAGCAGGUGCAUACGAGACUCUCUGGUCUGGCCAUCAGAAACUGCAUCUGUCU